CUAUGGCCAAGGUGGACACGGCCAAAGGAGACAAGGCCAAAUUAGAAGCAUUCAUGUCGGCCUACAAGAAGGCUGCUGAGCAAGUCCUUGUCGCGCCACCUGCUCAGAAGUUCUCGGUUAUGGAUACAGGCUUUACCGAGGCUUCUCACCCAGCUCCGUAAUUGGCACCUCGUUCACCCAUAUACUUGUUUUGUUUCUUAUUUUCAUUUUUAUUUCUUCCUAUUUCUAUUGGCGAGUUUGUUUCGCAUGAUCAAUCACUUGUAAUAAUCCAGAUAUAGGGAACCCUACAUACGGGCACAUUACGAUAUGUACUAUGUUUAUUUUCCCAAAUCUAUACCUAUACCUAUACCCUCACAUACGGUUUUUGUCGAUUCUGACCAGUUUCAUGUACUAGUACUCACCGUUUUGGGGUCCCGAAGCGAUUUCCAUAGUUGUUGAACCCGCAAGGUGCGCUUACGUGUCGGUCAUCAACACCCGCAAUUUUGGUCGAUUCUAGCCCGUUUCCUGGACUAUAACUCAUUGUUUUUGGGUCCCGGAGUGAUUUUCACGAUUGACGAACCCCGGGAUGCGUUUACGUGUUAGUCAUCAACACUCGCGGUUUUUGUCAAUUUUGUCCCGUUUCAUGGACUAUUACUCACUAUUUUGGGGUCCUAAAGCAAUUUCCAUGGUUGUUGAACCCCAAGGUGCGCUUACGUGUCGGUCAUCAAUAAUCACAGUUUUGGCCGAUUCUGGUCCGUUUCAUGCACAAUUAUUCACCGUUUUGGGGUCCUAAAGCGAUUUCCAUGAUUGACGAUCCCCAAGGUGCGUUUACAUGUCCAUCGUCAACACUUACAGUUUUGGCCAAUUCUGACCCAUUUCGUGGACUAACUCGCCGUUUUGGGGUCCCGAAGCGAUUUCCGUAGUUUUUGAACCCUCAAGGGCGCUUACGUGCCGGUCAUCAACACUCGCAUAUUGGCCGAUUCUCGCCCGUUUUGUGGAUUAUUACUCACUAUUUUGGGGUCCCGAAGUGAUUUCCGCGAUUGGCGAACCCCGGGGUGCGUUUACGUGUCGGUCAUCAACAGUCGCGGUUUUUUUCGAUUCUGACCUAUUUCGUGGACUAUUACUUACCGUUUCGGGGUCCCAAAGCGAUUUCCAUGGUUGUCGAAUCCCAAGGUGUGCCUACGCAAUGGUCGUUAAGACUCAUAGUUUGGACCGAUUCUGGCCUGUUUCUUGGACUAUUACUCAUUUUGGGGUCCCGAACUGAUUUACACGAUUGACAAACCCCAGGGUGCGUUUACAUGUCGAUCAUCAACACUCACAAUUUUGGCCAAUUAUGGUCUGUUUCGUGGACUACAACCCACCGUUUUUGGGGUCCCAGAGCGAUUUCUACGAUUGACAAUCCCCGGGGUGCGUUUAAGUGUUCGUCAUCAACACACGUGGUUUUGGCCAAUUCUGAGCCGUUUCGUGGAUUAUUACUCACCGUUUUGGGGUCCCGAAGCGAUUUCCAUAAUGUUAGAACCCCAAGGUGCGCUUAUGUGUCGGUCGUCAACAAUCGCAGUCUUGGCCGAUUCUGCCCCGUCUCGUGUACUAUUACUCACUGUUUUGGAGUCCCGGAGUGAUUUCCAUGAUUGACGAACCCCGGGGUGCAUUUAUGUGUCGGUCAUCAACACUCGCGGUUUUAGUCGAUUCUGGCCCGUUUCGUGGACUAUUACUCACUGUUUUGGGGUCCCAAAGCGAUUUCCAUGGUUGUUGAACCCAAAGGUGCGCUUACGUGUCGGUCAUCAACAAUCGCAGUUUUGGCCGAUUCUGGUCCGUUUCGUCCACAAUUACUCACCAUUUUGUGGUCCUAAAGCGAUUUCCACAAUUGACAAUCCCCGGGUGCGUUUACAUGUCCGUUGUCAACACUCACAGUUUUGGCCAAUUCUGACCCGUUUCGUGGACUAUUACUCACUAUUUUGGGGCCCCGAAGCGAUUUCCAUAGUUUUUGAACCCCCAAGGGGCGCUUACUUGUCGGUCAUCAACACUCGCAUAUUGGCCGAUUCUCGCCCGUUUCGUGGAUUAUUACUCACUAUUUUUGGGUCCUGGAGUGAUUUCCACGAUUGGCGAACCCCGGGGUGCGUUUACGUGUCGGUCAUCAACAGUCGUGGUUUUUUUCAAUUCUGACCCGUUUCGUGGACUAUUACUUACCGUUUCGGUGUCCCAAAGCGAUUUCCAUGAUUGUCGAAUCCCAAGGUGUGCCUAUGCAUUGGUCGUCAAGACUCAUAGUUUGGGCCGAUUCUGGCCCGUUUCUUGGACUAUUACUCAGUUUUAGGGUCCCGAAGUGAUUUACAUGAUUGACAAACCCCAGGAUGUGUUUACGUGCCGGUCAUCAACACUCACAAUUUUGGCCAAUUAUGGUCUGUUUCGUGGACUACUACCCACCGUUUUAGGGGUCCCAGAGCGAUUUCCGCGAUUGACGAUCCCCGGGGUGCGUUUAAGUGUUCAUUGUCAACACACGUGGUUUUGGCCAAUUCUGAGCCGUUUCGUGGAUUAUUACUCACCGUUUUGGGGUCCCGAAAUAAUUUCCAUAAUGUUAGAACCCCAAGGUGCGCUUAUGUGUCGGUCAUCAACACUCACAGUCUUGGCCAAUUCUGGCCCAUCUCGUGUACUAUACUCACUGUUUUGGAGUCCCAGAGUGAUUUCCACGAUUGACGAACCCCGGGGUGUGUUUAUGUGUCAGUCAUCAACACUCGCGGUUUUUGUCGAUUCUGACCCGUUUCAAGGACUAGCACUCACCGUUUUGGGGUCUCGAAGCGAUUUCCAUGGUUGUUGAACCCACAAGGUGCGCUUACGUGUCCACUACUAGGGAAAAGCCUAUACACAGAAUCUUAGCAGCAGCGAGGGUUAAAAACCCUCGCUACUGCUACUUACUAGCAGCGCAGGUUUUUAAACCUCGCUAGUACUAAGUUGAUAGCAGCAGCGCGGGUUUGUAACCCUCGCUACUACUAAGCGGUCUCUACCGGGCCCCCGGGAUAUGCCAUAGUAGUAGCGCGGGUUUUUAACCCUCGCUACUACUAAGUUCAUAGCAGCAGCGCGGGUUUUUAACCCUCGCUACUACUAAGUGGCCCCUGGACCAUGCCAUAGUAGUAGCGACGGUUAUAAACCCGUGCUACUGCUAUCAACUUAGUAGUAGCGAGGGUUAAAAACCCUCGCUACUGCUAAUCGUCUGCCAUAGUAGUAGCGCGGGGUAUGGCCUAUUUGNNNNNNNNNNNNNNNNNNNNNNNNNNNNNNNNNNNNNNNNNNNNNNNNNNNNNNNNNNNNNNNNNNNNNNNNNNNNNNNNNNNNNNNNNNNNNNNNNNNNNNNNNNNNNNNNNNNNNNNNNNNNNNNNNNNNNNNNNNNNNNNNNNNNNNNNNNNNNNNNNNNNNNNNNNNNNNNNNNNNNNNNNNNNNNNNNNNNNNNNNNNNNNNNNNNNNNNNNNNNNNNNNNNNNNNNNNNNNNNNNNNNNNNNNNNNNNNNNNNNNNNNNNNNNNNNNNNNNNNNNNNNNNNNNNNNNNNNNNNNNNNAAAAUGAUAAAAAUGUCAAAAAAAUAAAAUAAAAUAAGUUUCCCAUGUGAUAUGUGGUCUAGUUGUUGGGAAAAUUUACAAAUAUGAAUUUCGACUUUAUUUGCAAAAUGGCCAUAACUUUUGCAUACGAACUCGGAUGAAAAAGUUUUUUAUAUGAAAAAUCAUCUACUCGAAAAGUUACAGCCGAAUUUAACUGGGGGAACCCCGUUAAACAUUUUUAAAAUCCUCAAAAACCUAACAGAAAAAGAGUUACGGGGCUUUUAAGAUCUGGAGGCAAAAAAAUUCAAAAAAAUUAGUUUUUUUUAAUUUUUGUUAAAUCUGGUCAAACUAUGGUCAAACUAAUUAUUCAAGAAUAUUAGUGUUAAUAAAUAAUUAUUUUAGUUUUUUUGAAUUUUGGUCAAAUCUGGUCAAACUAUGGUCGAACUGUGGUCAAAUCUGGUCAAACUGUUGUCAAAUCUGGUCAAACUAAUUAUUCAAAAAAUAUUAGUGUUACUAAUUUUUUAGAACAAUAGUUUCAAACUCAAACAGUGAAAUGUGUGACUUCAUGCUCAAGCUAAAUUCCUGAGGUUAAUAGGAUUGACAUCUUACUAUUGUUAGGAAAACAACAAGUGCAGACUUGGAAACGAGGGAGAAUAGAACCCGAAAGUUAAGCGUGCUCAGGCUGGAGUAGUGAGAGGAUGGGUGACCGUCCGGGAAGUUAGAUGAUUUGGAAUGAUGAGGGGUGAUUAGAGAUUAAAUUGAGCAGCGAUGAGGGGUGAUUAGAGAUUUGAGUUAAAAUAAUUCAGAAAUUUGAAAAUUUUGAAAAAAAAUAAAAUAAAAUUCGAAUUUUUUUCCGGAGAUUACAGAUUAGUAGUAGCGCGGGUUUUUACCCACGCUACUGCUGUACGUUAGCUGUAGCGCGGGUGGCACCCGCGCUACUGCUAUAAGUUAGCUGUAGCGCCUUAUUAGUAGCGCGGGUACCCGCGCUGCUGAUAGGCCUAAAACCCGCGCUGCUGCUAGGCUUUUCGCUAGUAGUUGUCGGUCAUCAACACCAACAGUUUUGGUCGAUUCUGGCCCGUUUCAUGGACUAUUACUCAUUAUUUUUGGGUCCCGGAGUGAUUUCCACGAUUGACGAACCCCGGGGUGCGUUUACGUGUUGGUCAUCAACACUCACGGUUUUUGUUGAUUUUGUCCCGUUUCCUGGACUAUUACUCACUGUUUUGGGGUCUCAAAGCAAUUUCCAUGGUUGUUGAACCCCAAGGUGCGCUUACGUGUCGAUCAUCAAUAAUCGCAGUUUUGGCCGAUUCUGGUCCAUUUCGUGCACAAUUACUCACCGUUUUGGGGUCCUAAAGCGAUUUCCACAAUUGACGAUCCCCAGGGUGCGUUGACAUGUCUGUCGUCAAUACAUAGAGUUUUGGCCAAUUCUGACCCGUUUCUUGGAGUAUUAGUCACCGUUUUGGGGUCCCGAAGCGAUUUCCAUAGUUGUUGAACCUGCAAGGUGCGCUUACGUGUCGGUCAUCAACACUCGCAGUUUUGGUCGAUUCUGGCCCGUUUCAUGGACUAUUACUCACUGUUUUUGGGUCCCGGAGUGAUUUUCACGAUUGACGAACCCCGGGGUGCGUUUACGUGUCGGUCAUCAGCACUCGCGGUUUUGUCGAUUCUGGCCCAUUUCAUGGACUAUUACUCACUGUUUUGGGGUCCAAAGCGGUUUCCAUGGUUGUUGAACCCAAAGGUCUUAUGUGUUGGUCAUCAACAAUCGCAGUUUUGGCCGAUUCUGGUCCGUUUCGUGCAAAAUUACUCACCGUUUUGUGGUCCUAAAGAGAUUUCCACGAUUGACAAUCCCCAGGGAGCGUUUACAUGUCCGUCGUCAACACUCACAGUUUUGGCCAAUUCUGACCCGUGUCGUGGACUAUUACUCAUUGUUUCGGGGUCCCGAAGCGAUUUCUAUAGUUUUUGAAACCCCCAAGGGGCGCUUACGUGUCGGUCAUUAACACUCGCAUCUUGGCUGAUUCUCGCCCGUUUCAUGGAUUAUUACUCACUAUUUUGGAGUCCCGAAGUGAUUUCCACGAUUGGCGAACCCCGGGGUGCGUUUACGUGUUGGUCAUCAACACUCACAAUUUUGGCCAAUUCUGGUCCGUUUCGUGGACUACUACCCACCGUUUUUGAGGUCCCAGAGCGAUUUCCACGAUUCACGAUCCCCGGGGGGUGCGUUUAAGUUGUUGGGUGAAUACGUCGCAGCGUCUGUGUUGGGCACGCCAGGAGCAUGUAUGGGCGCGCAUCGGGUGUGUCGGGCGCGGCCUGUCUCGUGGCGUAGGUGUGUGUGUGCGUGCGUGUGCAGCACAAGGAUGUGUGCGUGUGUCUAUCGGUGCAAUGGGCGCAGGUGUAGAGCACGUCGCGCACUAGACCUGGUCGCACAGAUUGCGUGGGUGGGCGGCGGGAGCUCGGGCCUGGAGCGUGAGGACUUGGGGAGUGCGUGGAGGCGUCGCGUCGGGGGUGUGGAGUAGAGCGCCGAUGGACGCGGGUAUAAAACCCUCCCGCACGUGUGUUGUAGCAGACAGGGGUGACUAGUUCGUGCUUGUGGAAGUGGCGUUCGAGCGCCUGAGAAAAAACCUCCCGUGUCCACUGUGUGCCUCUUCUUCCUCCUUUCACCUCGUCGUCGCUGGUUCUUGCCACGGCUGGAGAGAGAGACAUCAGUGCAAGGGAGGAGAGGUCUAGAGCUAGGGCUAGUCGGUUCCAACUAUUGGCAUCAUACCCAAGUGAAGGCUAGGGUGCACCGGCGAUGUCGAUCGUCCCCAACCGCGGUGGUGCGGGCGGAUCGCUGCCGCAGGCGGCGGCGCACCUCACCAGCGACAACUACACGGCAUGGGCCAUCAAGGUCGAGACGAACCUCGACAUGGCGUGGCUGUGGGAGGCGUUGGUCGUGCUGGAGGACGCGGCGGCGGCCGUGAUCGCCAAGAAGGACAAGCCGGCAAGGGCGUACCUGCUUGGCGCGCUCGCAGAAAACCUGCUCCUGCAGGUGGCGUCGUAGAAGACGACAACGGAGUUCUGGGCCAGCCUCAAGGCGUGCUUUGUCGGGGCUGAUCGCGUCAGGGCGGUGCGGCUGGCAACGAUGCAGAGUGACUUCGAGCUGCUGUGGAUGGGGAGCGGCGAGAGGCUAGAUGACUUCGCUGGCAAAAUCAGCUGCCUGGCGGCAACCUACGCCGGGCUGGGAUCAGAGCUGGAAAACACGACGAUGGUGAAGAAGCCGCUCGGGCGCCUAAAGGCGUUCGACGAGCGGCUGCGUCGGCAUGGACAGGCGAGCGGCAAGUGGGCUGGCAGUGAGCUGUUGUACACGACGGCGCAGUGGCGGGCACGGGAGCAGCGUCAAUGUGGAGCGCGGGACGACGAUGACGCAUGCAGCGAGGCAUCGGGCUUCGUUGGCAAUCGGCGGGGACGGUGCUACAAGUGCGGCGAUCAGGGGCACUUCAAGUGAGACUACCCGCAGAGGCAGAAGAAGCCGAUCCUGGAGCGAGCCCUGUUUGCGGAAGGCUAUGUCGAGGAUGCCGGCCUGCUCUGAGCGUGGCUUAGGGGGGUGAGUGUUGGGUGAAUAAGCCGCGGUGUCCGCAUUGGGCACGCGCAGGCGCGUGUAUGGGCGCACGUCGGGUCUGUCGGGAGCGGCCGGUUGUUGGGGAACGUAGCAGAAAUCCAAAAUUUUCCUACGUGUCACCAAGAUCUAUCUAUGGAGAGACUAGCAACGAGGGGAAGGAGAGUGCAUCUACAUACCCUUGUAGAUCGCUAAGCGGAAGCGUUCAAGUGAACGGGGUUGAUGGAGUCGUACUCGUCGUGAUUCAAAUCACCGAUGAUCAAGUGCCAAACGCACGGCACCUCCGCGUUCAACACACAUACAGCCCGGUGACGUCUCCCAAGCCUUGAUCCAGCAAGGAGAGAGGGAGAGGUUGAGGAAGACUCCAUCCAGCAGCAACACAACGGCGUGGUGGUGGUGGAGGAGCGUGGCAAUCCUGCAGGGCUUCGCCAAGCACCGCGGGAGAGGAGGAGUACUUGUGAGAGGGGGAGGGCUGCACCAGAACUUCGUCUGAAGCUCCCAUGCGCCUCCCCACUAUAUAUAGGGGUGGAGGGGCUGGUUUCUUGCCCUCCAAGUCCAUUGGGGCGUUGGCCAAGGUGGGAGGAAAGAAAUCCCAUCAUUUCCUUCCCCACCGAUUGUUAUCCCCCCCUUUUAGGGAUCUUGAUCUUAUCCCUUCGGGAUAUGAUCUUAUUCCUUCUAAGGGGGGAUCUCGUUGCGCCUUGACCAGGGGUGUGGGGCCUUGCCCCCACUACCCACGUUCAUGUGGGUCCCCCCAUGCAGGUGGGCCCCACUCCGGAACCUUCUAGAACCUUCCCGGUACAAUACCGAAAAAACCUGAACAUUUUCCGGUGGCCAAAAUAGGACUUCCCAUAUAUAAAUCUUUACCUCCGGACCAUUCCGGAACUCCUAGUGACGUCCGGGAUCUCAUCCGGGACUCCGAACAACAUUCGGUAACCACAUACAAACUUCCUUUAUAACCCUAGCGUCAUCGAACCUUAAGUGUGCAGACCCUACGGGUUCGGGAGACAUGUAGACAUGACCGAGACGUUCUCCGGUCAAUAACCAACAGCGGGAUCUGGAUACCCAUGUUGGCUCCCACAUGUUCCACGAUGAUCUCAUCAGAUGAACCACGAUGUCAAGGACUCAGUCGAUCCCGUAUACAAUUCCCUUUGUCUAGCGGUAUGUUACUUGCUCGAGAUUCGAUCGUCGGUAUCCAAUACCUUGUUCAAUCUCGUUACCGGCAAGUCACUUUACUCGUUCCAUAACACAUCAUCCCAUGAUCAACUCCUUGGUCACAUUGCGCAUAUGAUGAUGUCCUACCGAGUGGGCCCAGAGAUACCUCUCCGUUUACACGGAGUGACAAAUCCCAGUCUCGAUCCGCAUAAAACAAUAGAUACUUUCGGAGAUACCUGUAGUGCACCUUUAUAGUCACCCAGUUAUGUUGUGACGUUUGAUACACCCAAAGCACUCCUACGGUAUCCAGGAGUUACACGCUCUCAUGGUCAAAGGAAGAGAUACUUGACAUUGGCAAAGCUCUAGCAAACGAACUACACGAUCUUUGUGCUAGGCUUAGGAUUGGGUCUUGUCCAUCACAUCAUUCUCCUAAUGAUGUGAUCCCGUUAUCAACGACAUCCAAUGUCCAUAGCCAGGAAACCAUGACUAUCUGUUGAUCACAACGAGCUAGUCAACUAGAGGCUCACUAGGGACAUAUUGUGGUCUAUGUAUUCACACGUGUAUUACGAUUUCCGGAUAAUACAGUUAUAGCAUGAAUAAAAGACAAUUAUCAUGAACAAGGAAAUAUAAUAAUACUUUUAUUAUUGCCUCUAGGGCAUAUUUCCAACAGUCUCCCACUUGCACUAGAGUCAAUAAUCUAGUUCACAUCGAUAUGUGAUUAACACUCAAGGUCACAUCCCCAUGUGACUUACACCCAAAGAGUUUACUAGAGUCAAUAAUCUAGUUCACAUUUACCAUGUGAUUAACACUCGAUGAGUUCUGGGUUUGAUCAUGUUAUGCUUGUGAGAGAGGUUAUAGUCAACGGGUCUGAACCUUUUAGAUCCGUGUGUGUGCUUUACAAAUCUCUAUGUCAUCUCUUAGAUGUAGCUACCACGCUCUAUUUGGAGCUAUUCCAAAUAACUGUUCUACUUGGAGCUAUACUAAAAGUUGCUCCAUUAUACGUAUCCGGUAUUUCUACUCAGAGCUAUCCGGAUAGGUGUUAAGCUUGCAUCGACAUAACUCUUUACGUCGAACUCUUUAUCACCUCCAUAAUCGAGAAAAUUCCUUAGUCCACUAGUUACUAAGGAUAACUUUGACCGCUGUCCUGUGAUCCAUUCUUGGAUCACUCUUGUACCCCUUGACUGACUCAUGGCAAGGCACACUACAGGUGCGGUACAUAGCAUAGCAUACUGUAGAGAGCCUAUGAUAAAAGCAUAGGGGACGACCUUCGUCCUUCCUCUUUCUUCUGCCGUGGUCGAGCUUUAAGUCUUAACUUCAUACCUUACAACUCAGGCAAGAACUCCUUCUUUGACUGAUCCAUCUUGAACACCUUCAAGAUCAUGUCAAGGUAUGUGCUCAUUUGAAAGUAUUAUUAAGCAUUUUGAUCUAUCCUUAUAGGUCUUGAUGCUCAUUGUUCAAGUAGCUUAAUCCAGGCUUUCCAUUGAAAAACACUUUCAAAAUAACCCUAUAUGCUUUCCAGAAAUUCUACGUCAUUUCUGAUCAACAAUAUGUCAACAACAUAUACUCAUCAGAAAUUCUAUAGUGCUCCCACUCACUUCUUUGGAAAUACAAGUUUCUCAUAAACUUUGUACAAACCCAAAUUUUUUGAUCAUCAUCAAAGCAUACAUUCCAACUCCGAGAUGCUCACUCCAGUCCUUAGAAGGAUUGCUGGAGCUUUGCAUACUUAUUAGCAUCUUUCGGGAUUGACAAAACCUUCCGUUUGUAUCACAUACAACCUUUCCUCAUUAAAAUCGUCGAGGAAACAAUGUUUUGACAUCCUAUCUGCAAGAUUUCAUAAAUAAUGCAGUAAUCGCUAAUAUAAUUCCAACAGACUCUUAGCAUCGCUACGAGUGAGAAAAUCUCAUCGUAGUCAACUCCUUGAACUUGUCGGAAAACAUCUUAACGACAAGUCGAGCUUUCUUAAUGGUGACAUUUACCAUCAUUGUCCGUCUUCCUUUUGAAAUCCAUCUAUAGUCAUUAGCCUUACGACCAUCGAGCCGUUCUGCCAAAGUCUACACUUUGUUUUCAUACAUGGAUCCUCUCUCGGAUUUUAUGGCCUCAAGCCAUUUAUCGGAAUCCGGGCCCACCAUCGCUUCCCCAUAGCUCGUAGGUUCAUUGUUGUCUAGCAACAUGACCUUCAAGACAGGAUUACGUACCACUCUGAAGUAGUACGCAUCCUUGUCAUCCUACGAGGUUUGGGAGUGACUUGAUCCGAAGUUUCAUGAUCAAUAUCAUAAGCUUCCACUUCAAUUGGUGUAGGUGCCACAGGAACAACUCCCUGUGCCCUGUCACACACUAGUUGAAGAGACGGUUCAAUAACCUCAUCAAGUCUCCACCAUCCUCCCACUCAAUUCUUUCGAGAGAAACUUUUCCUCGAGAAAGGACCCGAUUCUAGAAACAAUCCAUAUUGCUUUCGGAUCUGAAUUAGGAGGUAUACCCAACUGUUUUGGGUUUCCUAUGAAGAUGCAUUUUAUCCGCUUUGGGUUCGAGCUUAUCAACCUGAAACUUUUUCAUAUAAGCGUCGCAGCCCCAAACUUUUAAGAAACGACAACUUAGGUUUCUCUAAACCAUAAUUCAUACGGUGUCAUCUCAUCGGAAUUACGUGGUGCCCUAUUUAAAGUGAAUGUGGUUGUCUCUAAUGCCUAACCCAUGAACGAUAGUGGUAAUUCGAUAAGAGACAUCAUGGUAUGCACCAUAUCCAAUAGGGUGCAACUAUGAUGUUCGGACACACCAUCACACUAUGGUGUUCCAGGCGGUAUUAAUUGCGAAACAAUUUCCACAAUGUCUUAAUUGUGUGCCAAAACUUGUAACUCAGAUAUUCAUCUCUAUGAUCAUAUCAUAGACAUUUUAUCCUCUUGUCACAAUGAUCUACUACUUCACUCUGAAAUUACUUGAACCAUUCAAUAAUUCAGACUUGUGUUUCAUCAAGUAAAUAUACUCAACAUUUACUCGAAUCAUCUGUGAAGUAAGAACAUAAUGAUAUUCACUGCAUGCCUCAGCACUCAUUCGACUGCACACAUCAAAAUGUGUUACUUCCAACAAGUUGCUAUCUUGUUCCAUCUUACUGAAAAUGAGGCUUUUCAGUCAUCUUGCCCAUGUGGUAUGAUUUGCAUAUUUCAAGUGAUUCAAAAUCAAGUGAGUCCGAACGAUCCAUUUGCAUGGAGUUUCUUCAUGCAUAUACACCAAUAGACAUGGUUCGCAUGUCUCAAACUUUUCAAAAACGAGUGAGUCCAAAGAUCCAUCAACAUGGAGCUUCUUCAUGCGUUUUAUACCAUUAUGACUUACAUGGCAGUGCCACAAGUAAGUGGUACUAUCAUUACUAUCUUAUAUCUUUUGGCAUGAAAAUGUGUAUCACUACGACCGAGAUUCAAUAAACCAUUCGUUUAGGUGCAAGACCAUUGAAGGUAUUAUUCAAAAAUAGAGUAACCAUUAUUCUCCUUAAAUGAAUAACCGUAUUGCGAUAGACAUAAUCCAAUCAUGUCUAUGCUCAACACAAACACCAAUCUCGGUGGUAGAGGGAGCGUGCGAUGCUUGAUCAUAUCAACCUUGGAAACACUUCCAACAUAUAUCGUCAGCUCACCUUUAGCUAGUCUCCGUUUAUUCCGUAGCUUUUAUUUCGAGUUACUAACACUUAGCAACCGAACCGGUAUCCAAUACCCUGGUGCUACUAGGAGUACUAGUAAAGUACACAUUAACAUAAUGUAUAUCCAAUAUACUUCUAUAGACCUUGCCAGCCUUCUCAUCUACCAAGUAUCUAGGGUAAUGCUGCUCCAGUGGUUGUUCCCCUUAUUGCAGAAGCACUUAGUCUCGGGUUUGGGUUCAACCUUGGGUUUCUUCACUAGAGCAGCAGCUGAAUUGCCGUUUCAUGAAGUAUCCCUUUGUUCCCUUGCCCUUCUUGAAACUAGUGGUUUCACCAACCAUCAACAAUUGAUGCUCCUUCUUGAUUUCUACUUUCGCGGUGUCAAACAUCAUGAAUAUUUCAAGGAUCAUCAUAUCUAUCCCUGAUAUGUUAUAGUUAAUCACGAAGCUCUAGCAGCUUGGUGGCAAUGACUUUGGGGAAACAUCACUAUCUCAUCUGGAGGAUCAACUCCCACUCGAUUCAAGUGAUUGUUGUGCUCAGACAAUCUGAGCACAAGCUCAACGAUUGAGCUUUUCUCCCUUAGUUUGCAGGCUAAGAAAAUCGUUGGAGGUCUUAUACCUCUUGACGUGGGCACGAGCCUGAAAUCCCAAUUUCAGCCCUCGAAACAUCUCAUAUGUUCCGCGACGUUUCGAAAACGUCUUUGGUGCCUCUACUUAAACCAUUUAAUUGAACUAUCACGUAGUUAUCAAAACGUGUAUGUCCGAUGUUCGCAACAUUGACAAACGACGUUGGGGUUCAGCACACUGAGCGGUGCAUUAAGGACAUAAGCUUUCUACUGAUCGCAUAAUCGCUACUAUCAACUUUCAACUAUAUUUUCUCUAGGAACAUAUCUAAACAGUGGAACUAAAGCGCGAGCUUACGACAUAAUUUGCAAAAGGUCUUUUGACUAUGUUCAGGAUAAUUAAGUUCAUCUUAUGAACUCCCACUUAGAUAGACAUCCCUCUGGUCAUCUAAGUGAUCACAUGAUCCGAGUCAACUAGGCCGUGUCCGAUCAUCACGUGAGACGGACUAGUCAUCAUCGGUGAACAUCUUCAUGUUGAUCGUAUCUACCAUACGACUCAUGCUCGACCUUUCGGUCUCCGUGUUCCGAGGCCAUGUCUGCACAUGCUAGGCUCGUCAAGUUAACCCUAAGUGUUUUCGCUGUGUAAAACUAUCUUACACCCAUUGUAUGUGAAUGUAAGAAUCCAUCACACCCGAUCAUCACGUGGUGCUUAGAAGCGACGAACUGUAGCAACGGUGCACAGUUAGGGGAGAACACUUCUUGAAAUUUUGUAAGGGAUCAUCUUAUUUACUACCGUCGUCCUAAGCAAACAAGAUGCAUAAACAUGAUAAACAUCACAUGCAAUCAAAUAGUGACAUGAUAUGGCCAAUAUCAUUUUGCUCCUUUUGAUCUUCAUCUUCGGGGCUCCAUGAUCAUCAUCGUCACCGGCACGACACCAUGAUCUCCAUCAUCAUGAUCUCCAUCAUCGUGUCUUCAUGAAGUUGUCACGCCAACGACUACUUCUACUUCUAUGACUAACGCGUUUAGCAAUAAAGUAAAGUAGUUUACAUGGCGUUCUUCAAUGACACGCAGGUCAUACAAUAAAUAAAGACAACUCCUAUGGCUCCUGCCGGUUUUCAUACUCAUCGACAUGCAAGUCGUGAAUCCUAUUACAAGAACAUGAUCAAUCUCAUACAUCACAUAUCAUUCAUCACAUUCUUCUUGGCCAUAUCACAUCACAUAGCAUACCCUGCAAAAACAAGUUAGACGUCCUCUAAUUGUUGUUGCAUGUUUUACGUGGCUGCUAUGGGUUUCUAGCAAGAACGUUUCUUACCUACGCAAGACCACAACGUGAUAUGCCAAUUGCUAUUUACCCUUCAUAAGGACCCUUUUCAUCGAAUCCGUUCCGACUAAAGUGGGAGAGACUGGCACCCGCUAGCCACCUUAUGCACCAAGUGCAUGUCAAUCGGUGGAACCUGUCUCAUGUAAGAGUACGUGUAAGGUCGGUCCGGGCCGCUUCAUCCCACAAUACCGUCGAAACAAGAUUGGACUAGUAACGGUAAGCAUAUUGAACAACAUCAGCGCCCACAACUACUUUGUGUUCUACUCGUGCAAAGAAUCUACGCAAUAAACUUGGCUCUGAUACCACUGUUGGGGAACGUAGCAGAAAUUCAAAAUUUUCCUACGUGUCACCAAGAUCUAUCUAUGGAGAGACUAGCAACGAGGGGAAGGAGAGUGCAUCUACAUACCCUUGUAGAUCGCUAAGCGGAAGCGUUCAAGUGAACGGGGUUGAUGGAGUCGUACUCGUCGUGAUUCAAAUCACCGAUGAUCAAGUGCCGAACGCACGGCACCUCCGCGUUCAACACACAUACAGCCCGGUGACGUCUCCCAAGCCUUGAUCCAGCAAGGAGAGAGGGAGAGGUUGAGGAAGACUCCAUCCAGCAGCAGCACAAUGGCGUGGUGGUGGUGGAGGAGCGUGGCAAUCCUGCAGGGCUUCGCCAAGCACCGCGGGAGAGGAGGAGUACUUGUGAGAGGGGGAGGGCUGCACCAGAACUUCGUCUGAAGCUCCCAUGCGCCUCCCCACUAUAUAUAGGGGUGGAGGGGCUGGUUUCUUGCCCUCCAAGUCCAUUGGGGCGUUGGCCAAGGUGGAAGGAAAGAAAUCCCAUCAUUUCCUUCCCCACCGAUUGUUAUCCCCCCUUUUUAGGGAUCUUGAUCUUAUCCCUUCGGGAUAUGAUCUUAUUCCUUCUAAGGGGGGAUCUUGUUGCACCUUGACCAGGGGUGUGGGGCCUUGCCCCCACUACCCACGUUCAUGUGGGUCCCCCCAUGCAGGUGGGCCCCACUCCGAAACCUUCUAGAACCUUCCCGGUACAAUACCGAAAAAACCUGAACAUUUUCCGGUGGCCAAAAUAGGACUUCCCAUAUAUAAAUCUUUACCUCCGGACCAUUCCGGAACUCCUCGUGACAUCCGGGAUCUCAUCCGGGACUCCGAACAACAUUCGGUAACCACAUACAAACUUCCUUUAUAACCCUAGCGUCAUCGAACCUUAAGUGUGUAGACCCUACGGGUUCGGGAGACAUGUAGACAUGACCGAGACGUUCUCCGGUCAAUAACCAACAGCGGGAUCUGGAUACCCAUGUUGGCUCCCACAUGUUCCACGAUGAUCUCAUCGGAUGAACCACGAUGUCAAGGACUCAGUCGAUCCCGUAUACAAUUCCCUUUGUCUAGCGGUAUGUUACUUGCCCGAGAUUCGAUCGUCGGUAUCCAAUACCUUGUUCAAUCUCGUUACCGGCAAGUCACUUUACUCGUUCCGUAACACAUCAUCCCGUGAUCAACUCCUUGGUCACAUUGCGCAUAUGAUGAUGUCCUACCGAGUGGGCCCAGAGAUACCUCUCCGUUUACACGGAGUGACAAAUCCCAGUCUCGAUCCGCAUAAAACAAUAGAUACUUUCGGAGAUACCUGUAGUGCACCUUUAUAGUCACCCAGUUAGAUUGUGACGUUUGAUACACCCAAAGCACUCCUACGGUAUCCAGGAGUUACACGCUCUCAUGGUCAAAGGAAGAGAUACUUGACAUUGGCAAAGCUCUAGCAAACGAACUACACGAUCUUUGUGCUAGGCUUAGGAUUGGGUCUUGUCCAUCACAUCAUUCUCCUAAUGAUGUGAUCCCGUUAUCAACGACAUCCAAUGUCCAUAGCCAGGAAACCAUGACUAUCUGUUGAUCACAACGAGCUAGUCAACUAGAGGCUCACUAGGGACAUAUUGUGGUCUAUGUAUUCACACGUGUAUUACAAUUUCCGGAUAAUACAGUUAUAGCAUGAAUAAAAGACAAUUAUCAUGAACAAGGAAAUAUAAUAAUACUUUUAUUAUUGCCUCUAGGGCAUAUUUCCAACACCGGUGCCGUGGCGUAGGUGUGUGCGUGCGUGCGUGUGUAGCACGAGGAUGUGUGCAUGUGUCUAUUGGCGCAACGGGCGCGGGUGUAGACCAUGUCGGGCACUGGACCUGGUCGCGCAGAUCGUGUGCGUGCGUGGCGGGAGCACGGGCCAAGAGUGCGAGGACGUGGGGAGUUCGCGGAGGGGGGGGGGUGCGUCGGGGGCCUGGUGUAGAGCGUCGAUGGACGCAGGUAUAAAACCCUCCCACCCGUGUGUUGUAGCGGAUAGGGGUGACGAGUUCAUGCUCGUGGAAGUGACAUUCGAGCGCGUGAGCAAAAACAUCAUCGUUGGUUCAUGCCACGACUGGAGAGAGAGAGAGAGAGAUCAGUGCAAGGGAGGAGAGGGCUAGAUCUACGGCUAGUCGGUUCCAACAUAAGUGUCCGUCGUCAACACACGUGGUUUUGCCAAUUCUAAGCCGUUUCAUGGAUUAUUACUCAGUGUUUUGGGAUUUCGAAGCGAUUUCCAUAGUGUUUGAACCCCAAGGUGCGCUUACGUGUCGGUUAUCAACACUCGUAGUCUUGGCCGAUUCUGGCCCGUUUCGUGUACUAUUACUCACCGUUUUGGAGUCCCGGAGUGAUUUCCACGAUUCAUGAACCCCGGGGUGCGUUUAUGUGUCGGUCAUCAACACUCGCGGUUUUUGUCGAUCCUGACCCGUUUCAUGGACUAGUACUCACUGUUUUGGGGUCCCGAAGCGAUUUCCAUAGUUGUUGAACCCGCAAGGGGCGCUUACGUGUGGGUCAUCAACACCUACAGUUUUGGUCGAUUCUGGCCCGUUUCGUGGACUAUUACUCAUUGUUUUUGGGUCCCGGGGUGAUUUCCACGAUUGACGAUCCCCCUGGCGCAUUUACGUGCUGAUCAUCAACACUCGCGGUUUUUGUUGAUUUUGUCCCGUUUCGUGGACUAUUACUCACUGUUUUGGGGUCCCAAAGCAAUUUCCAUGGUUGUUGAACCCCAAGGUGCACUUACGUGUCGGUCAUCAAAAAUCGUAGUUUUGGCCGAUUCUGGUCCGUUUUGUGCACAAUUACUCACCGUUUUGGGGUCCUAAAGCGAUUUCCACGAUUGACGAUCCCCGGCGUGCGUUUACAUGUCCGUCGUCAACACUUACAGUUUUGGCCAAUUCUGACCCGUUUCGUGGACUAUUACUCACGGUUUUGGGGUCCAGAAGCGAUUUCCAUAGUUGUUGAACCCGCAAGGUGCGCUUACAUGUCGGUCAUCAACACUCGCAGGGGAGCCAACUGGUUGGGUCGGAAUGGAAUACGUCGUCGUGUUCAUUGGGGGAGGGGGGGCUUGGACGGAACAGCCGAUGGAAACAAAGCUUGGCGUACCGCAGAACGGAGGAAACGGCCUUGUGUUCGACCGGCCACGGUCAAAAUGGGAUCAUGUUCAUCAUGUGCGGUCUGGCGUACUGCAAAACAGACGAAACGGACUUCUCUUGGACCUCCUAUGGUCGAAACGGAGUCCUGUUGAUCGGGAGGGGUGUGGCAUACCGCAAAACGGAGGAAACGGACUUGAGUUGGAGCGCUACGGUCGAAACGGGGGUCCUGUUCAUCGGGAGGGGUGUGGCGUACCGCAAAACAGGACUCCAGGGGAUAUUGUUCAUCUCUACUGUUGACCUCUGCUAGCCUCCACGGGCUAGUGUUCAUCCACCGAUGACCUCCUCCAGCAUCCACUUGCGACUGUUCAUCCAUGGGCUCCUCACUACUACAGAAAAUCCUAGUAGUAGUGUGCGUUUUAGGUGUAUCAGCAACCACUACUAUGGAAAACCUUAUACAUAGCGCUGGACAUAAAUAGGCACUACUGCUACUUAGUAGUAGCGUUUUUAGAUAAACUGCGCUACUGCUACUACUUUAGCAGUAGCGUGUGUGCUAGGAAAACGCGUUGCUGCUAUGUUUGUACUGGCGGGGAUGGCUAGCCCCACUUAGCAGUAGCGCGUAUCUCUAGUCGACGCUACUGCUAUGUCCCAUAGCAGUAGCGCUUCUAGGAAAACGCGCUACUACUUACUUACCUUAUCCUACACGCGCCCGACCGUUUCACUCACUCUCUCUCUCACUCUCACUCUCGCCCGUGCCGGUUCCGUCGUCCGCCGCCGCCUCAUUGCUCCUCUCCACCGAGGUACUCCCUCUAUCCCGCCUCCUCCCUCCUCCCUCCUCCCCUCNNNNNNNNNNNNNNNNNNNNNNNNNNNNNNNNNNNNNNNNNNNNNNNNNNNNNNNNNNNNNNNNNNNNNNNNNNNNNNNNNNNNNNNNNNNNNNNNNNNNNNNNNNNNNNNNNNNNNNNNNNNNNNNNNNNNNNNNNNNNNNNNNNNNNNNNNNNNNNNNNNNNNNNNNNNNNNNNNNNNNNNNNNNNNNNNNNNNNNNNNNNNNNNNNNNNNNNNNNNNNNNNNNNNNNNNNNNNNNNNNNNNNNNNNNNNNNNNNNNNNNNNNNNNNNNNNNNNNNNNNNNNNNNNNNNNNNNNNNNNNNNNNNNNNNNNNNNNNNNNNNNNNNNNNNNNNNNNNNNNNNNNNNNNNNNNNNNNNNNNNNNNNNNNNNNNNNNNNNNNNNNNNNNNNNNNNNNNNNNNNNNNNNNNNNNNNNNNNNNNNNNNNNNNNNNNNNNNNNNNNNNNNNNNNNNNNNNNNNNNNNNNNNNNNNNCUUUUUUUUCUAUUUUUAGUAAGUGUUUAAAAUAUUUAAUAAGUAAAUUAAUAGAAGUAGUUGAACUAGUUUAUUUUUAGUAAGAACUAGUUGAAUUAAUAGAACUAAUGAAUUUUUAGUAAGAAAAUUAAUAUAACUAGUUUUAUCAAUGGACAAGGAGGGGGGCGGUGCCCCCCUUUCCUUCCCCUUCUCUCCUCCUUCCCUCUCUCCUACUCCUACUCUUGGAAGGGUUGGAGUCCUACUCCCGGUGGGAUUAGGACUCCCCUUGGGGCGCUCCUAGGAGGGUCGGCCCCUCCCCCUCCUCCACUCCUUUAUAUAUGGGGGAGGGGGCACCCCAUAGACACACAAGUUGGUCAUUGAUCUUUUAGCCGUGUGCGAUGCCCCCUUCCACCAUAAUCCACCUCGGUCAUAUUGUAGCAGUUCUUAGAUGAAGCCCUGCGUCGGUAGCUUCAUCAACACCGUCAUCACACCAUCGUGCUGCCGGAACUCUCCCUCGAAGCUCUACUGGAUCAUGAGUUUGUGGGACGUCACCGAGCUGAACGUGUGCAGAUCGCGGAGGUGCCGUAUGUUCGGUACUAGGAUCGGUCGAUCAUGAAGACGUACGACUACAUCAACCGCGUUGUCAUAACGCUUCAGCUUUCAGUCUACGAGGGUACGUGGACAACUCUCUCCUCUCUCGUUGUAAUGCAUCACCAUGAUCUUGCGUGUACGUAGGAAUUUUUUUGAAAUUACUACGUUCCCCAACAGUGGCAUCCGAGCCAGGUUUAUGCGUAGAUGUUAUAUGCACGAGUAGAAGACAAGUGAGUUGUGGGCGAUACUAGUCAUACUGCUUACUAGCAUGUCAUACUUUGAUUCGGCGGUAUUGUUGGAUGAAGCGGCCCGGACCGACAUUACACGUACGCUUAAGCGAGACUAGUUCUACCGACGUGCUUCGCACACAAGUGGCUGGCGGGUGUCAGUUUCUCAAACUUUAGUUGAAUCGAGUGUGGCUACGCCCGGUCCUUGUUGAAGGUUAAAACAUCACUAACUUGACGAAAUAUCAUUGUGGUUUUGAUGCGUAGCUAAGAACGGUUCUUGGUUAGCCCGUAGCAGCCACGUAAAACUUGCGACAACAAAGUAGAGGACGUCUAACUUGUUUUGCGGGGCAUGUUGUGAUGUGAUAUGGUCAAGACAUGAUGUUAUAUUUAUUGUAUGAGAUGAUCAUGUUUUGUAACAGAGUUAUCGGCAACUGGCAGGAGCCAUAUGGUUCUCGCUUUAUUGUAUGAAAUGCAAUCGCCAUGUAAUUGCUUUACUUUAUCACUAAGCAGUAGCGAUAGUCGUAGAAGCAAUAGUCGGCGAGAUGACAACGAUGCUACGAUGGAGAUCAAGGUGGCGCGUCGGUGACGACGGUUAUCAGGACGAUGCUUUGGAGAUGGAGAUCAAAGGCACAAGAUGAUGAUGGCCAUAUCAUAUCACUUAUAUUGAUUGCAUGUGAUGUUUAGCUUUUAUACAUAUUAUUUUGCUUUGAUUGACGGUAGCAUUAUAAGAUGAUCUCUCACUAAAUUUCAAGGUAUAAGUGUUCUCCCUGAGUAUGCACCAUUGCCAAAUUUCAUUGUGCAGAGACACCACAUGAUGAUCGGGUGUGAUAGGCUCUACGUUCACAUACAACGGGUGCAAGCCAGUUUUGCACACGCAGAAAUACUCGGGUUAAACUUGACGAGCCUAGCAUAUGCAGAUAUGGCCUCGGAACACUGAGACCGAAAGGUCGAGCGUGAAUCAUAUAGUAGAUAUGAUCAACAUAGUGAUGUUCACCAUUGAAAACUACUCCAUUUCACGUGAUGAUCGGACAUGGUUUAGUUGAUUUGGAUCACGUGAUCACUUAGAUGAUUAGAGGGAUGUCUAUCUAAGUGGGAGUUCUUAAGUAAUUUGAUUAAUUGAACUUUAAUUUAUCAUGAACUUAGUACCUGAUAGUAUUUUGCUUGUCUAUGUUGUUGUAAAUAGAUGGCCCGUGAUGUUGUUCCGUUGAAUAUUAAUGUGUUCCUUGAGAAAGCUAAGUUGAAAGAUGAUGGUAGCACUUAAACGGACUGGAUCCGUAACUUGAGGAUUAUCCUCAUUGCUGCAUAGAAGAAUUAUGUCCCGGAAGCACCACUAGGUGCAAGACCCGCUGCAGGAGCAACGCCGAACAUUGUGAAUGUCUGGCAGAGCAAAGCUGAUGACUACUCGAUAAUUCAGUGUGCCAUGCUUUACGGCUUAGAACCGGGACAUUAACGAUGUUUUGGACAUCAUGGAGCGUAUGAGAUGUUUCAGGAGCUGAAGUUAAUAUUUCAAGCAAAUGCCCAAAUUGAUAGAUAUGAAGUCUCCAAUAAGUUCUAUAGCUGCAAGAUGAAGGAGAAUAGUUCUGUCAGUGAACAUAUACUCAAAAUGUCUGGGUAUAAUAAACACUUGAUUUAAUGGGAGUUAAUCUUGCUGAUGAUAGUGUCAUUGACAUAAUUCUUCAAUCACUGCCACCAAGCUACAAGAGCUUCGUGAUGAACUAUAAUAUGCAAGGGAUGGAAAAGACAAUUCCCGAGCUCUUCGCGAUGCUAAAGGCUGCAGAGGUAGAAAUCAAGAAGGAGCAUCAAGUGUUGAUGGUCAACAAGACCACCGGUUUCAAGAAAAGGGGUAAAGGGAAGAAGAAUGGGAACUUCAAGAAGAACUGCAAACAAGUUGCUGCUCAAGAGAAGAAACCCAAGUCUGGACCUAAGCCUGAGACUGAGUGCUUCUACUGCAAAGGGACUAGCCACGGGAAGCGGAACUGCCCAAAGUAUUUGGCAGGUAAGAAGGAUGGCAAGGUGAACAAAGGUAUAUGUGUUAUACAUGUUGUUGAUGUGUACCUUACUAAAGCUCGCAGUAGCACCUGGGUAUUUGAUACUGGUUCUGUUGCUAACAUUUGCAACUCGAAACAGGGACUAUGGAUUAAGCAAAGAUUGGCUAAGGACGAAAUGACGAUGCGCGUGGGAAAUGGUUCCAAAGUCGAUGUGAUCGCGGUCGGCACGCUACCUCUACAUCUACCUUCAGGAUUAGUUUUAGACCUGAAUAAUUGUUAUUUGGUGCCAGCGUUAAGCAUGAACAUUAUAUCUGGAUCUUGUUUGAUGCGAGACGGUUAUUCAUUUAAAUCUGAGAAUAAUGGUUGUUCUAUUUUUAUGAGUAAUAUCUUUUAUGGUCAUGCACCCUUGAAGAGUGGUCUAUUGUUGUUGAAUCUCGAUUAUAGUGAUACACAUAUUCAUAAUGUUGAAGCCAAAAGAUGCAGAGUUGAUAAUGAUAGUGCAACUUAUUUGUGGCACUGCCGUUUAGGUCAUAUUGGUGUAAAGCGCAUGAAGAAACUCCAUACUAAUGGAAUUUUGGAAUCACUUGAUUAUGAAUCACUUGGUACUUGAGAACCAUGCCUCAUGGGCAAGAUGACUAAAACGCCGUUCUUCGGAACAAUGGAGCGAGCAACAGAUUUGUUGGAAAUCAUACAUACUGAUGUAUGUGGUCCGAUGAAUAUUGAGGCUAGCGGCGGGUAUCGUUAUUUUCUCACCUUCAUAGAUAAUUUAAGCAGAUAUGGGUAUAUCAACUUAAUGAAACAUAAAUCGGAAACAUUUUAAAAGUUCAAAGAAUUUCAGAGUGAAGUGGAAAAUCAUUGUAAUAAGAAAAUAAAGUUUCUACGAUCUGAUCGUAGAGGAGAAUAUUUGAGUUACGAGUUUGGUCUUCAUUUGAAACAAUGCGGAAUAGUUUCGCAACUCACGCCACCCAGAACUCCACAACAUAAUGGUGUGUCCGAACAUCGUAACCGCACUUUAUUAGAUAUGGUGCGAUCUAUGAUGUCUCUUACUGAUUUACCGCUAUCGUUUUGGGGUUAUGCUUUAGAGACGGCUGCAUUCACGUUAAAUGGGGCACCAUCUAAAUCCGUUGAGACGACGCCUUAUGAACUAUGGUUUGGUAAGAAACCAAAGUUGUCGUUUCUUAAAGUUUGGGGCUGCGAUGCUUAUGUGAAAAAGCUUCAACCUGAUAAGAUCGAACCCAAAUCGGAGAAAUGUGUCUUCAUAGGAUACCCAAAGGAGACUGUUGGGUACACCUUCUACCACAGAUCUGAAGGCAAGACAUUUGUUGCAAAGAAUGGAUUCUUUCCAGAGAAGGAGUUUCUCUCGAAAGAAGUGAGUGGGAGGAAAGUAGAACUUGAUGAGGUAAUUGUACCUGCUCCCUUAUUGGAAAGUAGUUCAUCACAGAAACCGGUUCCUGUGACACCUACACCAAUUAGUGAGGAAGCUAAUGAUAUUGAUCAAGAAACUUCAGAUCAAGUUACUACCGAACCUCGUAGGUCAACCAGAGUAAGAUCUACACAAGAGUGGUACAGUAAUCCUAUUCUGGAGGUCAUGUUACUUGACCAUGGCGAACCUACGAACUAUGAGGAAGCGAUGAUGAGCCCAGCUUCCGCAAAAUGGCUUGAGGCCAUGAAAUUUGAGAUGGGAUCCAUGUACGAGAACAAAGUGUGGACUUUGGUUGACUUGCCCGAUGUUGGCAAGCCAUCGAGAAUAAAUGGAUCUUCAAGAAGAAGACUGACGCUGACGGUAAUGUUACUGUCUAGAAAGCUCGACUUGUUGCGAAAGGUUUUCGACAAGUUCAAGGGGUUGACUAUGAUGGGACUUUCUCACCCGUAGCGAUGCUUAAGUCUGUCCGAAUCAUGUUAGCAAUUGCCGCAUUUUAUGAUUAUGAAAUUUGGCAAAUGGAUGUCAAAACUGCAUUCCUGCAUAGAAGAAUUACGUCCUGGAAGCACCACUAGGUGCAAGACCCGCUGCAGGAGCAACGCCGGACGUUGUGAAUGUCUGGCAGAGCAAAGUUGAUGACUACUCGAUAAUUCAGUGUGCCAUGCUUUACGGCUUAGAACCGGGACUUCAACGAUGUUUUGAACAUUAGGGAGCGUAUGAGAUGUUUCAGGAGCUGAGGUUAAUAUUUCAAGCAAAUGCCCAAAUUGAUAGAUAUGAAGUCUCCAAUAAGUUCUAUAGCUGCAAGAUGAAGGAGAAUAGUUCUGUCAGUGAACAUAUACUCAAAAUGUCUGGGUAUAAUAAUCACUUGAUUUAAUGGGAGUUAAUCUUCCUGAUGAUAGUGUCAUUGACAGAAUUCUUCAAUCACUGCCACCAAGCUACAAGAGCUUCGUGAUGAACUAUAAUAUGCAAGGGAUGGAAAAGAAAAUUCCCGAGCUCUUCACGAUGCUGAAGGCUGCGGAUGUAGAAAUCAAGAAGGAGCAUCAAGUGUUGAUGGUCAACAAGACCACCAGUUCCAAGAAAAGGGGUAAAGGGAAGAAGAAGGGGAACUUCAAGAAGAACUGCAAACAAGUUGCUGCUCAAGAGAAGAAACCCAAGUCUGGACCUAAGCCUGAGACUGAGUGCUUCUAUUGCAAAGGGACUGGCCACGGGAAGCGGAACUGCCCCAAGUAUUUGGCAGGUAAGAAGGAUGGCAAGGUGAACAAAGGUAUAUGUGAUAUACAUGUUAUUGAUGUGUACCUUACUAAAGCUCGCAGUAGCACCUGGGUAUUUGAUACUGGUUCUGUUUCUAACAUUUGCAACUCGAAACAGGGACUAUGGAUUAAGCGGAGAUUGGCUAAGGACGAGGUGACGAUGCGCGUGGGAAAUGGUUCCAAAGUUGAUGUGAUCGCGGUCAGCACGCUACCUCUACAUCUACCUUCGGGAUUAGUUUUAGACCUGAAUAAUUGUUAUUUGGUGCGAGCGUUAAGCAUGAACAUUAUAUCUGGAUCUUGUUUGAUGCGAGAUGGUUAUUCAUUUAAAUCUGAGAAUAAUGGUUGUUCUAUUUUUAUGAGUAAUAUCUUUUAUGGCCAUGCACCCUUGAAGAGUGGUCUAUUGUUGUUGAAUCUCGAUUAUAGUGAUACACAUAUUCAUAAUGUUGAAGCCAAAAGAUGCAGAGUUGAUAAUGAUAGUGCAACUUAUUUGUGGCACUGCCGUUUAGGUCAUAUUGGUGUAAAGCGCAUGAAGAAACUCCAUACUAACGGAAUUUUGGAAUCACUUGAUUAUGAAUCACUUGGUACUUGCGAACCAUGCCUCAUGGGCAAGAUGACUAAAACGCCGUUCUUCGGAACAAUGGAGCGAGCAACAGAUUUGUUGGAAAUCAUACAUACUGAUGUAUGUGGUCCGAUGAAUAUUGAGGCUAGCGGCGGGUAUCAUUAUUUUCUCACCUUCAUAGAUGAUUUAAGCAGAUAUGGGUAUAUCAACUUAAUGGAACAUAAAUCUGAAGCAUUUUAAAAGUUCAAAGAAUUUCAGAGUGAAGUGGAAAAUCAUCGUAAUAAGAAAAUAAAGUUUCUAUGAUCUGAUCGUAGAGGAGAAUAUUUGAGUUACGAGUUUGGUCUUCAUUUGGAACAAUGCGGAAUAGUUUCGCAACUCACGCCACCUGGAACUCAACAACAUAAUGGUGUGUCCGAACGUCGUAACCACACUUUAUUAGAUAUGGUGCGAUCUAUGAUGUAUCUUACUGAUUUACCGCUAUCAUUUUGGGGUUAUGCUUUAGAGAAGGCUGCAUUCACGUUAAAUGGGGCACCAUCUAAAUCCGUUGAGACGACGCCCUAUGAACUGUGGUUUGGUAAGAAACCAAAGUUGUCGUUUCUGAAAGUUUGGGGCUGCGAUGCUUAUGUGAAAAAGCUUCAACCUGAUAAGAUCGAACCCAAAUCGGAGAAAUGUGUCUUCAUAGGAUACCCAAAGGAGACUAUUGGGUACACCUUCUAUCACAGAUCCGAAGGCAAGACAUUUGAUGCAAAGAAUGGAUCCUUUCUAGAGAAGGAGUUUCUCUCAAAAGAAUUGAGUGGGAGGAAACUAGAACUUGAUGAGGUAAUUGUACCUGCUCCCUUAUUGGAAAGUAGUUCAUCACAGAAACCGGGUCCUGUGACACCUACACCAAUUAGUGAGGAAGCUAAUGAUAUUGAUCUAGAAACUUCAGAUCAAGUUACUACUGAACCUCGUAGGUCAACCAGAGUAAGAUCUGCACAAGAGUGGUAUAGUAAUCCUAUUCUGGAGGUCAUGUUACUUGACCGUAGCGAACCUACGAACUAUGAGGAAGCGAUGAUGAGCCCAGAUUCUGCAAAAUGGCUUGAGGCCAUGAAAUCUGAGAUGGGAACCAUGUACGGGAACAAAGUGUGGACUUUGGUUGACUUGCCCAAUGAUUGGCAAGCCAUCGAGAAUAAAUGGAUCUUCAAGAAGAAGACUGACGCUGACGGUAAUGUUACUGUCUAGAAAGCUCGACUUGUUGCGAAAGGUUUUCGACAAGUUCAAGGGGUUGACUAUGAUGAGACUUUCUCACCAGUAGCGAUGCUUAAGUCUGUCCGAAUCAUGUUAGCAAUUGCCGCAUUUUAUGAUUAUGAAAUUUGGCAAAUGGAUGUCAAAACUGCAUUCCUGAAUGGAUUGAUAGAAGAAGAGUUGUAUAUGAUGCAACCAGAAGGUUUUGUCGAUCCAAAAUGUGCUAACAAAGUGUGCAAGAUCCAGCGAUCCAUUUAUGGACUGGUACAAGCCUCUCGGAGUUGGAAUAAACGUUUUGAUAGUGUGAUCAAAGCAUAUGGUUUUAUACAAACUUUUGGAGAAGCCUGUAUUUACAAGAAAGUGAGUGGGAGCUCUGUAGCAUUUCUAAUACUAUAUGAAGAUGACAUGUUGUUGAUUGGAAAUGAUAUAGAAUUUCUGGAUAGCAUAAAAGGAUACUUGAAUAAGAGUUUUUCAAUGAAAGACCUCGGUGAAGCUGCUUAUAUAUUGGGCAUCAAGAUCUAUAGAGAUAGAUCAAGGCGCUUAAUUGGACUUUCACAAAGCACAUACCUUGAUAAAGUUUUGAAAAAGUUCAAAAUGGAUCAAGCAAAGAAAGGGUUCUUGCCUGUGUUACAAGGUGUGAAGUUGAGUCAGACUCAAUGCCUGACCACUGCAGAAGAUAGAGAGAAAAUGAAAAAUGUUCCCUAUGCUUCUGCCAUCGGCUCUAUCAUGUAUGCAAUGCCGUGUACAGGACCUGAUGUGUGCCUUGCUAUUAGGUUAGCAGGGAGGUACCAAAGUAAUCCAGGAGUGGAUCAUUGGACAGCGGUCAAGAACAUCCUGAAAUACCUGAAAAGGACUAAGGAUAUGUUUCUCGUUUAUGGAGGUGACAAAGAGCUCGUCGUAAAUGGUUACGUCGAUGCAAGCUUUGAUACUGAUCCAGACGGUUCUAAAUCGCAAAACAGAUAUGUGCUUAUAUUGAACGGUGGAGCUGUCAGUCAGUGCAGUUCUAAACAAAGCGUCGUGCCGGGAUCUACGUGUGAAGCGGAUUACAUAGCUGAUUUGGAAGCAGCAAAUGAAGGAGUCUGGAUGAAGGAUUUCAUAUCCGAUCUAGGUGGCAUACCUAGUGCAUCGGGUCCAAUGAAAAUCUUUUGUGACAAUACUGGUGCAAUUGCCUUGGCAAAGGAAUCCAGAUUUCACAAGAGAACCAAACACAUCAAGAGACGCUUCAAUUCCAUCCGUGAUCAAGUCCAGGUGGGAGACGUAGAGAUUUGCAAGAUAUAUAUGGAUCUGAAUGUUGCAGACCCAUUGACUUAGCCUCUCUCACGAGCAAAUCAUGAUCAGCACCAAGACUCCAUGGGUGUUAGAAUCAUCACUGUGUAAUCCAGAUUAUUGACUCUAGUGCAAGUGGGAGACUGAAGUAAAUAUGCCCUAGAGGCAAUAAUAAAGUUAUUAUUUAUUUCCUUAUUUCAUGAUAAAUGUCUAUUAUUCAUGCUAGAAUUGUAUUAACUGGAAACAUAAUACAUGUGUCAAUACAUAGACAAAUAGAGUGUCACUAGUAUGCCUCUACUUGACUAGAUCGUUGAUUAAAGAUGGUAAAGUUUCCUAACCAUAGACAUGAGUUGUCAUUUGAUAAACGGGAUCACAUCAUUAGGAGAAGAUGUGAUUGACUUGAUCCAUUCCGUUAGCUUAGCACUUGAUCGUUUUAGUUUACUGCUAUUGCUUUCUUCAUGACUUAUACAUGUUCCUAUGACUUUGAGAUUAUGCAACUCCCGAUUACCGGAGGAACACUUUGUGUGCUACCAAACAUCACAAUGUAACUGGGUUAUUAUAAAGGUGCUCUACAGGUGUCUCCGAUGGUACUUGUUGAGUUGGCAUAGAUCGAGAUUAGGAUUUUUCACUCCGAUUGUCGGAGAGGUAUCUCUGGGCCCUCUCGGUAAUGCACAUCCCUAUAAGCCUUGCAAGCAAUGUGACUAAUGAGUUAGUUGCGGGAUGAUGCAUUACAGAACAAGCAAAGAGACUUGCCAGUAACGAGAUUGAGCUAGGUAUUGAGAUACCUACGAUUGAAUCUCGGGCAAGAAACAUACUGAUGACAAAGCGAACAACGCAUGUUGUUAUGCGGUUUGAUCAAUAAAGAUCUUGGUAGAAUAUGUAGGAGCCAAUAUGAGCAUCUAGGUUCCUCUAUUGGUUAUUGAACGGAGAUGUGUCUCGGUCAUGUCUACAUAGUUCUCGAACCCAUAGGGUCCGCACACUUAACGUUCGGUGACGAUCAAUAUUAUGAGUCUAUGUGUUUUGAUGUACCGAAGGAAGUUCGGAGUCCCGGAUAUGAUCACGGACAUGACGAGGAGUCUCUAAAUAGUCGAGACAUAAAGGUCGAUAUAUUGGAUGACUGCAUUUGGACUUCGGAAGGGUUCCGGGCAAGUUCGGACAAAUACCGGAGUAUCGCGGGGUUACCGAAACCCCCCAGGGAGUGUAACUGGCCUAUUGGGCCUUAGUGGAGAAGAGGAGGGGCGGCCAGGGUAGGCCGCGCGCCCCCUCCCCCUCUAGUCUGAAUUGGACAAGGAGGGGGCGGCGCCCCCCUUUCCUUCCCCCUCUCUCCUCCUUCCCUCUCUCCUAGUCCUACUCUUGGAAGGGUUGGAGUCCUACCUUCGGUGGGAGUAGGACUCCCGUUGGGGCGUGCCUAGGAGGGCCGGCCCCUCCCCCUCCUCCACUCCUUUAUAUAUGGGGGAGGGGGGCACCCCAUAGACACACAAGUUGAUCAUUGAUCUUUUAGCCGUGUGCGAUGCCCCCCUCCACCAUAAUCCACCUCGGUCAUAUCGUAGCGGUGCUUAGGCGAAGCCCUGCGUCGGUAGCUUCAUGAACACCGUCAUCACACCGCCGUGCUGACGAAACUCUCCCUUGAAGCUCUACUGGACCGUGAGUCUGUGGGACGUCACCAAGCUGAACGUGUGCAGAUAGUGGAGGUGCCGUACGUUCGAUACUAGGAUCGGUCGAUCGUGAAGACGUACGACUACAUCAACCACGUUGUCAUAAUGCUUCCGCUUUCGGUCUAUGAGGGUACGUGGACAACACUCUCCCCUCUCGUUGCUAUGCAUCACCAUGAUCUUGCGUGUACGUAGGAUUAUUUUUGAAAUUACUACGUUCCCCAACAGUCGGUCCCUCUUACAUAAAUGAAAUUCUGGCCUCUUUUUUAAGUUGGUAGAGCCGAUUUUCCUCUUUUUAUUGUUCAUGUCCUCGGAAUCAUUUGUUGACUCUGAUGGAGUCUUGUUUUUUCCUUUUUUUCUCAGUAUCCUAUGAAACAUACUCGUCAUUCUUAAAUAAUUGCAAUACCACCCUUUUCUUUUUGCCCCCAUGAUUUGGUGGAGUCGAUUCAACCACACUUACUUCUUGCUGCUUUCGAAAUGAUUCAUCAUGGCUGUCAUCAUCUGUGAAUGCACGGGGUUCGUCAGGCUCUCGCGAUCUCGUAGCCUUCACAGAGUGGUGCUUACUCCAUCUAUUGGACGAAUUUUGUCAUACGAAAUAAAACGCGUGUUAGCCUUUAGCAGAUUCUUGCUCCGUUAUAGGUAAAAUGUGCAUCACCUGAAAAGCUUCAAGGCUUGUGGAGGCUUUGGAAUGCAUUUGCGUAUCCAAACUAUGAGCACCCUGGAUAUCAUCCACUUCUUUAAAAUGCUUACGAAGACCCCUGAGAUCCUGUUCGAUUUUUACAGCAGCUCCUUCAAAUGAUUCAUCUUGUACGUGGAAGAUCACAUGUUAUUUCUGAAAUGACAAUGAUUGUUUCAUAAUUAAGUUAACAUGCGUGCGUCAAAAUCUUCAUCAAGGUUCUUCAUGGGGGUCUCCGUGUCAUCCCUUUUUAUUCCCUGCUUACAAUGGUGCUUAGCAGCGACCUCCGUGACAUCCUUUUGUUUCCCCUAGUCAGAAGCAUGCUCAACAUUCUCAACAUAGGCCUCCAUCGGGUGUGAAGGUGCCCCGAGGUUAGAAAGAUGUAUGUCUUGCACUCCUGGAAAUGUUCCAUCGCGUUUUUCUUAAAAAGAUACAUGUUAGUCUAGGGUGUUUUCAUAGUAAACUAAUUUAGAAAAAACCUUGUACACGUAAACUUCCAAUUAUAUAUACUAAUCUCAUAAUUCUAUGCUUACGUUCAAUUCUUUGAUGAGGUCCUCUGUGAGCUUGCCAUUAGUACGGGUACGCUUAAUGCACUCAUCCAUUUUCUUUUCAAGGGUGCACAUCCUAUCGACUUGUUCUGCACCGGCCUCCCGCACGAGGGAGGCAACUUCUUGCAAAUCAGUCAAUACACGUCUGACGAGUACCUCAAUCUGAGACUUUGAAAUAGUUAGAAUCAUAUAACUUCAUACUAGUUAAUGUUAUAAUAUAUAUUUGUGCCUCAUGUAACUCACUUACCUGAGCGCCAGUUUUUGGUUUGGCUAGCGUACCAUCUCGUGCUGGAAUGAAAGGCCUCCUCAAGUCCUCAACAUACUGCAGUUUAGUAUCGUUAGUAUGAUUUAGAAAACAUGUUACAUAAUCCAGUCAAUGUGCUGACAUUUUACCUCUCCAACUCCCAGAUAAUUAUUCUGGAUUAUAUUGUCAAUCUUUGUUGCCUUCUCCUCGCUCCAGUUCUGGAUCAGCGGCUUUAUCCCUUAUUCAUACGAGAUGCUAGAGUUCAAUUGGUGCACUCUGAACUUCUCAUAGUACCAUGUCUGCAUGCCAACAAAAGCAGUUUACAAACAUUCUCGUACAUUAUGUAAUGUGUGUUAGGUAAUUGAUAAUUGUACUACUGCGAAUUACCUGCAGCAGUGAUAGGUUCCCCUCCAGAUUGGCCUCACCAUUUACAAAAUUCUACACGUUAUCCAUAAGAUAGUCAAGUGUUAGCUGUCCAAGAUUUGUGCCCUUUAUCGUCUCAACGUUUCUAACAAUCCCAAUAUAUUUGUUAUCCACAUACUCCUCUUUUGUUCGGCAUACAUAUUUGCCUAUGGUGUACAAGAGAAAUGGCCUGACAAAAUUUGGUGUGUUGUCACCUUUCAUCUUGGCCAGCAAUCCUUUGAAAUUUAUUUUGGUGUCAUUACGGUCUUUCAGUUUCUUCCACAAUCCAUAUUAAUAUCAAGAUUUGAACGGACGUGCUUCUUCCCAUCGCAGUACAUUUCAAGAACAUUUGCUAAAUAUGAUUAUUUUCAAAAUUCAUGAACAUUUAUUCAAAUAUGGGUAGAUUUUUAGAAUUUGAUUUCUUUUUCAAAUAUGAGAAUAGUUUAAAAAUUCAUUAACAUUUUUUUGAAGUCCCGGAUUUUUCUAAAUUAGUAAACAUUUUAGAAAAUUCAGUUUUUAUAUAGGAGAAUUAUUUUCAAGUUCAUUUAUAGAAAAAUCAGAACAUAUUUUGAAAUCUAUGAAAAAUUAUCAAAUUCAUGAAAAAUUUAAAUCCAGGAACAAUUUUCAAAUUCAUACAAUUUGUUUGAAAUAUGAGAACAAUUUUAAAAUGUGAAAACUACUCUUUCAAAAUUUGGGAAAUUUAUUCAAAUUUGUUUAUAUUUAAUUGUCGAAUAUUUUUUAAAAAUCCAAGAACAUUUUUAAAAAUAAGAAGUUUAUUAAUUCUGAAUAUGUUUCCAAAUUUUGAACCUUGUCUCACAAUGUUAUUUAAAUUCUGGAUUUGUUUUUCAAAUCCAUGAUGUUUUUUUUGAAAUUUGGGAUAUUUUUAUAUUUGAUGAACAUGUUUUGCAAUUCAUAAAACAAAUUAAUAUUAGUGAACAUUUUUUAAAUUCAUGAAUAUGUAUUCGAAUUUGAGUAAUUUCAAAUUAGUGAUUGUGUUGUCUCAUUCACAAUAUUUUUUGAAUCCCAACGAUUUUUGGCAAUUUUUUAUGAAUGAAUUUUUUUCGAAGUGCACGUGAGGCCAUGUGUUUGCGCGUUUGGUGGCUAUGGCGGGAAUUUCCUAACGGAGGCUCGCUGCGUCAAGUUGUUGCGGUAAAUCCUAUUCGCCGCUUGAUGUGACGAACUGUCAAGCAAUCCCACAGAGAAGCACAGCGAGCGACAGACAUGGGCUGGUCCACUUAUAAAUAGUUUUGAGAGCGACUAAUUAACGAGCGCUCCUUCGGAAGCCUCACAACGAUCAGCGCCACUUGGCACGCUCUCAGCGAUUCGCCACGUGUCACGCUCUGGGCGCUUCCUCUGGAUUUUUAUUUUAUUUUUCCGCACGCGUUUUCGGCUUUUAAAAUGGUUUUUUCUGAGGUUUUUCAAUGUUUUGGUUUUUCACCGGUCUUCCCUAGCUUUUCCCUUUCGUGAGAGGCACGCCCGUGCCUCAUGGAAACAAAAAAAACACGUUUUUUUUCUUUUCGCGAGAGGCACGGUUUUGCUUCCCUGAGAGGCACGGUUGUGCUUUCGCGAGAGUCACGGCCCUGCCUCUUAGAAACGAAAAAAAACGUUUUUUUGUUUUUUUGCUUCUGCGAGAGGCACCGUUGUGCAUUCACGAGAGUCACAACCAUGCCUCCUCGGAAACGUAAAAAAAUGCGUUUUAUGUAUUUUUUUCUUUCGCGAGAGUCACGGUUUUGCUUCUGCGAGAGGCACGGUUGUGAUUUCGUCAGAGGCACGGGCGCGCCUCUUUCGAAAAGGGAAAAACCCGUGCUCCUGGUCCGGUUUUUUUCUCUGGUUUUUUUGUCCGUUUUUUUUCGUGAAAAAAAAGUUCGUCAAAAUCUAUCAACACGGGAUCUAGUUUUGAAUAUCUCGACGCGAACUGGACGCACGGUUUAAGAGAUAAAACGUUUUGAAUAAACGGAUCUACAAAAAAAGAAAAAAAUCUUAGGUUGCGACAAGUGGCGCACAUGCAGCGCGCCACUUGUCGCAACAUGGGAAUUGGAAUGAUCUUCACAACGAGUACUCUUUAACUAGUGAUUUCGCAUAGUUUCUGUUUGUUUCCUUUUUGAUUUGUUUUGAUUAGUUUCUGUUUCUUUAAUUUAUGUUUUUCUUUUCAAAUUUCACAACUUCGCAAAAUUUGUUAGCAAAUUUAAGAAAAAUAUUUGUAUUAUAUUUUUGUUCCUGAGUUUCAAUAAAUGUUCCUAAUUCAAAAUUUGUUCACAAUUUACAAAAAAAUGUUCAUGUUUGAAAUUUUUGUUCGUGAGUUUCAUAAAAUGUUCCCAUUUCAAAAAUUUGAUCACACAUUUCAAAUUUUGUUUGGGAGUUUCAAAAAAUGUCCACGAUAUAUUAAACAAUGAUUAUGUCUUCAAAAAAGUUUCACGAGAUUGAAAAAUGUUCCUCUUUGAAAUUUAUGAAAUUUUGUUCGGAAUUUUCUAAAGAUGUUUGCAAUAUUUUAAAUGGUGUUUGUGUUUUCAAUUUUACGGGGAGUUUAAAAAAUAAUCUUGCUUCCUAAAAUUGUUCGCUUUUUUUCGAAAUAUUUGAGUCUUGUCAAAUUUUGUUCACAAUUUUUAAAAGUGUUCGGAUUUCGUAGAAUAUUAUGUUUUUUUCAGAAUUUUUUUGCGAUCAAAAUUUAGAAAAUGUUCGGAUCUACAUUCGGUUUGGUUCUUAAGUUUCUGCGCAGCUUAGUGCACAAUAUAGCCAGCUAGCUCAACUGGUAAACACCACUUUGCCUUAACCACCUGCUAUCUAGUUUGAGCCUUACUGAGCGCGCCUUUUUUUUAUCGUUACAGUUUUCCGCUUUGCACUGCUCGCUAGCCACCUGGGCCGGCCCAGUCAGCAAACUUCACAGAACAUUUUUCGACGUUCUGCCGUAACGAGCGGAACAUAGGAUCACCCAGUUGUCGCUGCUUCGGACAGAGGCGAACGACCAAGCGAUCAAGAUGGGCCAGCCCAAAGACGAGAUAGCACACUGUCCGGUCCUGGGAACAUUGUGGAAAGUUCCUGACUGGUUUUGGGAACCUUCUAGAAGGUUCUUGAACCGGUUUUGCCCUGAUUUUUUCUAUUUCUUUUUCUUUUUUAUUUUUCAUUGUUUUAUUUUAUUGUUUUUUUAUUUUACUUUCUUCAUUUUUUGUGUCUGUAUUUCAUUUUUCAAUUUCUUUUUCUCCUCUUUUUAUUUCCUUUUUGUUCUCCGGAACUUGAAAUUCUUUUCUAAAUUUAAAAAAUGUUCAGAAGUUCAAAAAAUGUUCUUGUUAUUAAUUUUUGUUCACAAAGUCAAAAGAUGAUCUUCAUUUUCUAAAAGAAUGUUCGCAUAUUAUUAAAAAUGUUCGCUUUUAAGUAAAAUAUACAUAAGUUAAAAAAAUCAUGUUUUCUAAUUUCAUGUAGGAGUUUAUAACAUCUUCCCAUUUCAAAAUUUGUUCACCAAUUUCAGAAAAAUGUUCAUGUUUUCAAAUUUUGUUGGGAGUUUCAAUAAAUGUUUCCAUUAAAAGAAUUGUUCACAAAUUCAAAAACUUUUCUUUUUUCAAUUUUUUUUGAGAGUUUUAAAAAAGUGCGCAAGUUUAAAACCUGUUCAUGUUUUCAAGUUUUGUUCAGCAGUUUCAAGAAAUGUUCCAUUUUUCAAUAAUGUCUGUGUAUACAAUUUUUUUUGGAAAUUUAAGAAUGUUCUGCUUUCCAAAAAAGUUCACGUUUUCUAUAUUUGGGUAUUUUUUUAAAAACAUCACGUUUGCAGGAAUUGUUUGCAUUUUUCGAAAUGAUUGAGUUUUUAAAGUUUUAUUCACAAUUUCGAAAAGUGUUCUCUGUUUCAUACAACAUUCAGGUUUUUUCUCAAAAUAAUGCUUUCUGUAAAAGAAAAUGAAAAAUAUUCGAUUGUGCACUCGGUUUGGUUCUUAAUAUUUUGCGAUGCAUUUCGAACCAGGUAGCUCAAUUGGCUAGAUGUACUUUUUGAAGCGUCUGGUCUCAGGUUCGAACUCUGCUUAGCGCAGUCUUUUUCCGAGCGCUGCAUUUUCCGUUCAGUACUGUACAUUACCCAAAUGGGCCGGCCCAGUCGGGAGGGACUGUGCGUAGAGUCGACAUUCUGCCGCAGAGAGCGGCAGAUAGGACCCCUUGUUUUUUUUUGAGAAAGAGAUAGGACCCCUUGCUAUAGCAUGGCUAAUUCCUAUUGGGCUGUAGCCACUCUUCGCUUGUUUCAUGAGCGGGCCAGCCCAUCUAAAGCCAUUUAGCAAAUAUAGGUGUUUGCUUUUCAAUUGUUCUUUUUAGUUUCCCACUUUUUUAUUUCCAAUUUUUUAAAAAAACUCAUGUUUUUACAAAAUUACAAACUUUUAACAAUUUCACAAAGUUUUUCAAAACUUGCGAAGAUAUUUUAAUUUAUGAAUUUUUUUCCAAAUUUAUUUUGAAAUUCUAUAGAUUUUUAUUUAAAUUUACGAGCCUUCAGAAAAAUGCAAAAUUUUUAAAUUAAUUUUCAAAAUCUGUGAUAUUUUUCAAAUUCAUUAUCAUUUUUCAUAUUCCUGAAGGUUUUUAAAAUUCCUGAAGAGUUUUCAAAGUAGGAUUUUGUUUCUGAAAAUUUGUGAAUAAUUUUGUGAACUUUUUCCAAAUUUGUAAAAUAAAAUAAAAUCUGUGAACCUUCUUGAGGCGAGCGUACGAGGCAAUUGGCUGUUUCAUGGACUCCUCAUUCAAAAGGUUGUAUCAUGAACCUCUCAGAUUUGGAACCAUGCACAUCCGGUCGUUGUACUCAUUGUGGUUUCUAGCUAGAUAGAUGGUACCCCUAUUUCCUAGGAAUUAUUGAGGGCAUCUCACUUGUGGCUCAUAUGGGGUAGACAUGCAUGGGUGCAACCAAAUUUUCACCCACAUGCAGUAUGGCAUCCGCGAAGCUCUCAUGACCUCAUGCUCUCGUUGUGCAACAUCUCCUAUUUAAAGCCACAAUCACCUUCAUAAGAGUCCCCGACGUAAGCAUCGAUCUCAUUGAAAGCAGCAACAUCUCGUUGAAUCAUCCCUCUACCACAUGUCAACUAGAGUAAUGGCCCCAGCCAAGAAGAUUGCGGUGGCACAAAUCCUUGUCAUCGUCAUGGUGGCAACUUCAUUAUUACAGACGUCAAGGGCCACCGUCACGAAGUCCGGCGAGGAGCUGUUCAAGAUGGCCCUUGUCGGGCUCAUGGAUGUGGCCAUUGACGACGUCAUCGCCGCCACCCCACCAUCGAAAAUACCCGAAGUAAAAGCGGCUGGGGAGAAGCAACAACUCCUCGCUAUGGCCAAGGUGGACACGGCCAAAGGAGACAAGGCCAAAUUAGAAGCAUUCAUGUCGGCCUACAAGAAGGCUGCUGAGCAAGUCCUUGCCGCGCCACCUGCUCAGAAGUUCUCGGUUAUGGAUACAGGCUUUACCGAGGCUUCUCACCCAGCUCCGUAAUUGGCACCUCAUUCACCCAUAUACUUGUUUUGUUUCUUAUUUUCAUUUUUAUUUCUUCCUAUUUCUAUUGGCGAUUUUGUUUCGCAUGAUCAAUCACUUGCAAUAAUCUAGAUAUAAGGAACCCUCAUGUACGGGCACAUUACGAUAUGUACUACGUUUAUUUUCC
rnacentral:lncRNA from 1 species